rnacentral:lncRNA from 1 species
CUGCCCUUGGGAAACUGCCUCACACUGACCUAAUUACUUUAUUAAGCUUGGAUUGAAUGGUUGAUCCCAAAGUAGAUAAAGCUGGAAGCAGGAAAACAGAAAAUUCUCCCUCUCUCCCUCUGUCUCUCUCUCCCUCUGGGAAGAAAAGUCAUUAGGAUGAUGCUUUGAAUCAUGAAAAAAUUCCUGAUGUGUGUCUCUGUACAGGAAAUUAGCCUAGGUAGAAAUGAAUUACACUGAUCUUCACUUUGGAGAAGGUGCUGCAAACAGGAAGAAGGUUUGUGUUUUGUGGGGUUUUGUUCUCCAAGUACAAAGGAAAACAUAUACAAAAGGGGAGAGUUGAAACAGGAGAAAGAGAAGGAGUUUGCUCAGGGAUCUGGUUAAGAAUAACCAGUCACCAGACUCCAGCCUGGCUGGGCAUAAUAUUAUUGCAAAGGGCUGAUGGCUGCAAAUGCUCCGGAAGAAUGUGAGUAAACAACCAUAUUAAUUCAACUUGUAUAACUGUAUAUUCAGGAUCCAGAUGCUUGAGAGUGAACUAUUAAUGGCCGACUUGGCUUGUAUAUUCAAUUGUGUGUUG